CAGCACCUCAAGUGGUCAGGAGGAUUAUUGGGCCUAAAGCAUCCGUAGCCUGCUCUGUAAGUUUCCGGUUAAAUCCAUGGGCUUAACCCAUGGGCCGCCGGAAAUACUGCAGAGCUAGGGAGUGGGAGAGGUAGACGGUACUCGGUAGGAAGGGGUAAAAUCCUUUGAUCUAUUGAUGACCACCUGUGGCGAAGGCGGUCUACCAGAACACGUCCGACGGUGAGGGAUGAAAGCUGGGGGAGCAAACCGGAUUAGAUACCCGAGUAGUCC
rnacentral:rRNA from 1 species